AGAAACAAUUGGUCACUUGGUGUUAUUGAGGAGACCUUUCCUGGUGCUGAUAAAACUGUACGUAAAGUUCGCGUUCGAGUUGCAGGGAAUAGUCUGUAUACUCGCCCCAUCAACGAACUUGUCUUACUAGUUUCUACUUAAGAUGUACAUACCAAAAUUUGUCAUUUUUUAAAAUAGCAUCUGUUUAGACACUUGUAUGGAAAUCUAGUCAUACUUUAUGAUCUAGUCAUCUACUUUUUAUAUUCAUUUGGAUGUAUAGUGUAGUUUGUUUAUUUUGGUCAUAUUUGUGAUAUCUAGGAGAUAUCAGGCGGGGAGUGUACUGUCCUUCGUACGAAUUUUUAAGGUACGAGUUAUCAAAAUAAAUGCUAGAAGCCAUGUGGCUGAAACAUUGUUUACCUGUGGAAUUUUUGGAAGUUUAAGGGAAAUUACAGUUCUUUUACCACAUGCCAUCUCACAUAUUCGUCCUUGUCAAUAAAGACAUCAGUUUAUUUGGA